AUUGAGGUGGCAGAGCCCGGUAAUUGCAGAAGACCUAAGAUCUCCUAAACAGGGGUUCAACUCCCCUCCUUAAUC
rnacentral:tRNA from 1 species